UUCACAUUUUGUAUCACCUGUCAGUAAGGCUGUUAAUUCUCUCUGCUGAUUUUUUGUGCCUUUAUGGAAAGAGCAGCCUUCUCCAAGGACUCCUACACUAAAAUCUAUCAGCAACUGUUCUCAAGGAGAAUGCCACAACAAUUUAAUGAGCAUGAAUUUGCUGGACAGCCAAGUCGUGAUUGUGAGACCUGAUCCUAAAUAUAGUGGGAGAAGCUGAGGAGAAAACCUGGUGCUUUUCUGGGGAUUAUACGGACAGUACACACCAUGGAAUGGGCACAGUGUGUCCUGUGGUCCCAGGAGCUCCUCAACCUUUAGUAAUUUUAGGUGAA